rnacentral:rRNA from 1 species
UGGGGAAUAUUGCGCAAUGGGGGAAACCCUGACGCAGCGACGCCGUGUGAGGGAAGAAGGCUUUCGGGUCGUAAACCUCUGUCAGGAAGGAAGAACCUCUCAAGGCUGAACAAGCCUUGGGACUGACGGUACUUCCAGAGGAAGCACCGGCUAACUCCGUGCCAGCAGCCGCGGUAAUACGGAGGGUGCAAGCGUUAAUCGGAAUCACUGGGCGUAAAGCGCGCGUAGGCCGUCUUUUAAGUCGGACGUGAAAGCCCUCGGCUCAACCGGGGAACUGCGUUCGAUACUGGGAGACUUGAGUCCUGGAGAGGGUGGCGGAAUUCCUGGUGUAGGAGUGAAAUCCGUAGAUAUCCGGAGGAACACCGGUGGCGAAGGCGGCCACCUGGACAGGUACUGACGCUGAGGCGCGAAAGCGUGGGGAGCAAACA